rnacentral:rRNA from 1 species
GAUGAACGCUGGCGGCGUGCCUAAUACAUGCAAGUCGAGCGAACAGACGAGGAGCUUGCUCCUCUGACGUUAGCGGCGGACGGGUGAGUAACACGUGGAUAACCUACCUAUAAGACUGGGAUAACUUCGGGAAACCGGAGCUAAUACCGGAUAAUAUAUUGAACCGCAUGGUUCAAUAGUGAAAGACGGUUUUGCUGUCACUUAUAGAUGGAUCCGCGCCGCAUUAGCUAGUUGGUAAGGUAACGGCUUACCAAGGCAACGAUGCGUAGCCGACCUGAGAGGGUGAUCGGCCACACUGAAACUGAGACACGGUCCAGACUCCUACGGGAGGCAGCAGUAGGGAAUCUUCCGCAAUGGGCGAAAGCCUGACGGAGCAACGCCGCGUGAGUGAUGAAGGUCUUCGGAUCGUAAAACUCUGUUAUUAGGGAAGAACAAAUGUGUAAGUAACGAUGCACGUCUUGACGGUACCUAAUCAGAAAGCCACGGCUAACUACGU